rnacentral:lncRNA from 1 species
GGAGCGGACAUCGGGUUCCUGAGCCUCGGCGCUGAGGACAGCUAAGCCUCGUGCACAGCCCUCUGGACGACAGGGGCCCGGAGCUGAUGGCAGACAAUGUCAGCCACUAACAACAUAGCCCAGGCCCGGAAGCUGGUGGAACAGCUCCGCAUCGAAGCCGGGAUCGAGCGCAUCAAGGUGUCCAAAGCCUCAUCGGAACUCAUGAGCUACUGCGAGCAGCACGCCCGGAAUGACCCCCUGCUGGUCGGAGUCCCCGCGUCCGAGAACCCCUUUAAGGACAAGAAGCCCUGUAUUAUUCUGUAGCGUUGUCCCUCCGUGUGUCCCUGCCUGUGUCUCUCGCUCCGCUAGGGCGUCUGCACCACGCACUCCGGCAACACCUCUCAUGUCCCCAAACCUCCGGUUCCGGAAGGAACGCGAGCCGCUGCCUCCACGGAUGGGGUAAACUCCUCUCCCGGCCCGGCCAGAAGAUGACGCUGGGGCCGCGGCCGCUUCCCAUCAGGAGUAACAGAGAUCCCGAGUGACGUGGUAACAAUUUUCGGAAACUCUGGGUUGCCGGGGGGCUGCGGUCCAGAGCCCGGCCGCGGCGCGAGAAGGGAAGAAGGACUGGCCGCUGGCCCCCGGGCGCCCCGGCGGGUGGCCAGUCUCACCCGCUGGGCCGUUUGUGAAACACUUGGCCAGGUCCCUGCUGCCCUGUUCUUUUUCUCCUAAGCAGAGGAAAAUUGGGUGGUGGGGGGCGGGGGGAGCGGGGGCACCCAGCCCGGACACACAUACACACGCGCACACUCACACACUCCUCACACACUCCCCGCCGGGCUCCCUGGCCUGUGGGUGUGGGGCCGCAGCGAUGACUCCGAGCCUGUUCACUGUCUCCCCGCCAGUCUGGGAGCUAAUUACUGUCAGGACGAGACGGGUUGGCUGGAAAGAUGAACAAAUCGCAGUGUGUCUGCAGCACGUCUGGGUCUGCAGGCCCACCAGCGUCUGUUCCCAGGGUGUGGGGCAUGACAGCCGUGCCGCUGUGCGUGCAGGGGGCGCCUUGGGCAUUUGCUUGGGUCCUGCAGGGCCUGGGCUGGGUGAUGGACGCAGCAGCCAUCCUGCCUGCUGGGUGUGUGUGUGUGUGUGUGUGUGUGUGUGUGUGUGUGCGCGCGCGUGAGACAGAUCUGUGGGAGCGUCUAGUCUCCUUGUAUAUAAAAUGGAUCUAAUAAUAGCACUUAGCUCCUAGAUUAAGAGGAAUAAAUGAAUUCAUGAACAUGAAGUGUGUACUCCU